UACGUAGGGUGCGAGCGUUAAUCGGAAUUACGGGGCGGAAAGUGUGCGCAGGCGGCCGAGCAAGUCGAGUGUGAAAGCCCCGAGCUUAACUUGGGAACUGCGCUCGAAACUACUUGGCUAGAGUGUGGCAGAGGGAGGUGGAAUUCCACGUGUAGCGGUGAAAUGCGUAGAGAUGUGGAGGAACACCGAUGGCGAAGGCAGCCUCCUGGGCCAACACUGACGCUCAUGCACGAAAGCGUGGGGAGCAAACAGG
rnacentral:rRNA from 1 species